GACAGAGGCCUCGAGCGUUAGGCGGAAUCACUGGGCUUAAAGCGUGUGUAGGCGGAAGAGUAAGUACCUUGUGAAAUCCCACGGCUCACCCGUGGAACCGCUGGGGUAUACUGCUCUUCUUGGGCCACUCAGGGGCGACUGGAACAAGCGGUGGAGCGGUGAAAUGCGUAGAUAUCGCUUGGAACGCCGAAGGUGAAAAACAGGUCGCUGGGAGUGCGCCGACGCUGAGACACGAAAGCCAGGGGAGCAAAACGGG
rnacentral:rRNA from 1 species